rnacentral:lncRNA from 1 species
CAGCUAUCAGUCUGGAGCCCAUGAGCUCUCCCUUGUUCAGGUCAGCAAGAUAAGAAAUACCAUAACAGAGGGAACAAUUAUUGGUUCAAGGAGAAAUCUGGCACUAGGGAAAUGUCCAGAGAUCAACAAGGUUGAUGCCAAGUAACAAUCUAAGCAAUAGUCAGAGGCUACCUUAAAUGCCUUUCUCUGAUAAUGAGACUGAUUACUACCUUAAUUGCAAUCCUAGAGCCUUCAUCCAGUAGCUGAUGGAAACAGAAGCAGACACCCACAGCUAAACACUGAACUGAACUGGAAUCCAGUUACAGAGAGGGAGGAGUGAUGAGCAAAGGUGUCAAGACCAGGCUGGUGAAAUCCACAGAAAUUUGGUAUCAUUCUAGUCCAAAUAUAAGGAUUUUAUCUAUUUUACUCAAGGUUUGCUGAGGAAAAGUGAACAAGUGGAAAUGAAGUCUAUUGUCAAUGUGACCAGAGUUGUCCUCAGAGAGUAGGACAGAUAAAAUUAAAAUCAAACCUCUCUUACAAAGAAGAGGAGCCCAGAAGGCUGGAAAUUCCAGAUGAAAAAAAAGAAGGCACCAGAUACUUGGAAUGGGACAGAGCUGCCUGGGAGAGAAGUAAAAGGGUGAGGAGGCCCAAGAGACCAGACUGCAGGGAACCUUGGGAGAAAACCAUCAGGAAUGCCUCAUUUACUUUCAAGAGAAAUGUAUGUAUCACUGUAGUUGUGAUCAAUCACAUACAUUUUGGUAAAUUUUGUUUCUGAGUUCAUCUGUAUGCUUAUUUUAUGGAUUUUCAUUUGCUGUAUCCUGGAGUUUACAAUCCUAAGGACAUAUUUUGGCUAAAAAUAUUACUAGGGUGAUCUGUACUAUUAUUCUCUAAGCUGUCCCUAUGUUUGAACAGCUGAUACCAGACUUUUGUUUAUCUUCUGAUUUUGGUUCUGUUUUUCUUUCUGGAAUAGGGGCGUAGUGUGUAUUUUAGGUUUCCCUGAAAGUUGUGCUGUUCCUGCUUCAUUUUCUAAUUACUCACAUUAUCAUCUAGUGCUACUAAAACCUAGCU